rnacentral:tRNA from 1 species
ACUAUAGCUAGCUCAGUGGUAGAGCUAUCGGCUGUUAACCGAUCGGUCGUAGGUUCGAGUCCUACCUGUGGAGCCA